UCCGGUUGAUCCUGCCGGAGGCCACUGCUAUCGGUUUCCGACUAAGCCAUGCGAGUCAGGUGUCGCAAGACGCCGGCGUACGGCUCAGUAACACGCGGAUGAUCUAUCCUCUGGUAGGGGAUAACCUCGGAAAACUGAGGCUAAUACCCUAUAGGUAUUUGAAGUUUGAAUACUCAGAUGCUGAAAGCGUGAGCGCCAGAGGGUGAGUCUGCGGCCUAUCAGGUAGUAGGUGGUGUAAUGGACCACCUAGCCUAAGACGGGUACGGGCCUUGAGAGAGGAAGCCCGGAGAUGGAUUCUGAGACACGAAUCCAGGCCCUACGGGGCGCAGCAGGCGCGAAACCUUCACACUGCGCGUAAGCGCGAUGAGGGGAGACCGAGUGCCUUCUCUUUACGGGAAGGCUUUUCACAAGCCUAAAAAGCUUGUGGAAUAAGGGCUGGGCAAGACGGGUGCCAGCCGCCGCGGUAAUACCCGCAGCUCAAGUGGUGGUCGCUAUUAUUGAGCCUAAAACGUCCGUAGUCGGCUUUGUAAAUCCCUGGGUAAAUCGGGUUGCUUAACGAUCCGAUCCCUGGGGAGACUGCAAAGCUUGGGACCGGGCGAGGUUAGAGGUACUCUCGGGGUAGGGGUGAAAUCCUGUAAUCCCGAGGGGACCACCUGUGGCGAAAGCGUCUAACUUGAACGGCUCCGACGAUGAGGGACGAAGGCUAGGGGAGCAAACCGGAUUAGAUACCCGGGUAGUCCUAGCUGUAAACACUGCCCGCUUGGUGUGGCCUGUCCUCCGGGGGCAGGCCGUGCCGGAGCGAAGGUGUUAAGCGGGCUGCUUGGGGAGUACGGCCGCAAGGUUGAAACUUAAAGGAAUUGGCGGGGGAGCACCGCAACGGGAGGAUGCGUGCGGUUUAAUUGGAUUCAACGCCGGG
rnacentral:rRNA from 1 species